rnacentral:lncRNA from 1 species
GUCAUGCUAGAGACCUAAACAAUCAUAGAUAAUUAUGAAAUGAUAUCCUUCCGAAUGGGAUAAGAGAAUUCCUAAUAUAUAUUCCCUUUUCGUCUAUUAAUUGAAGAAAUAAUUUGAAAAUUACGUUGACCAAAAGAUGUUGAAGCGGCAUAGAUUAUUUGAAUAGAACCUAAUAUCAUUAACCAGGGGCAAAAUAUUGAAUGAGCGUGGGAAAAUAAUUCCAUAUUAAUUCGAACCAACCCAUAUGCUCCCAUUUUUAAUAAGAUUCCGGCUAAAAGCAUACAAGUG